UUGGAAAAGGCUCGGAGUCAAACCAGCCCCUCUGGUUAGGGUAGUGCAAGGACAGCUGGGGUGUUAGAAGAAGAGUUGAGGGCAGUUAAACCACCACCAACUUUGUCAGUUUUGGAAAGCCUCAACUAGUGGAAGGAAGCAUCCACCUUUACACAGUUAGGCAAGGAUGGGACCUUCUCUCCUGCUGUGGUAUGCUGGGCUUUCUGGGUUGGAUAUGCAAAGUGUGUUAUAUCCUCUGUGGGAGGGGUUGGAAUCUCAUGCUCAGGAUUGUUCAGACAACACACCUUCUGUCCACUCUCCUGAUACUGUUCUGUUUUUUUCUUUGUUUUUUUGUUUGUUUGUUCAUUUUUGCUUUUGUGGUAUUGGGGUUCCAAUGCAGGACUCGAGCAUACUCUCUCUGCACCCUAUGGCUGAGCUACAUCCCCACCCCUCCUGACACUGUUCUGAAGGAAAGAGCGAAGGACAACUGAAGCUCCAAGAUAAUACUUAACAGUCUACCAAGUGUCUGACUUUUCUCAGCCCUAGGGAAGAAGGCAUGUGGAUUCUAGCCCUACUUCUAGAGGUCCUGCCUCCUGGCAGUCAAACAUUUUCCAGUUUGGAAGGGAGAAUGAUGUCAAUCACAAGUUCACCUGGGACAUAUGUGGCAAUCUCUUGUGAUUUACAUGAAGCAAGGAACUAUGUCCACUGGUACCAAUUCAAGGAGGGGAAGGUUCCACGAUGACUUCUCUACUUUAAUACUUUGAAUUCCAAGGUUGUGGUGGACUCAGGAAUCAGUUCAAGGAAUAUGAUGCUUAUAAAGUCAGAGAUGGGAGAUGUAAAUUCGUAGUACGAAAUGUGGAAGAAAGUGACUCUGCUGUGUAUUACUGUGCCUACUGGACGAGCACAGUGGUUCAGACCUGCCUUUAUCUGUACUCAAGAUGUUGCUAUGUCUGCUCCUGGUACACGGUUAGAUCAGCUCCCAUUCCAUUUCCAGCCCCUGACCUCACUGUGCUCUGAACAAAGGGAAACCAUGAACCCAAACCUAACUCCCACCCUCUAUCUACCCCACCCCCCUCUCAACAGUUAUACCCUGCCCCCAUUUGCACCCCAAGACCAAACUCCUGAACUGCUGUCUCCUGUCCUGGCUAAGCAUUGUGGCUGACAGCAUUAUUCUUUCAGGUCUCGUAGGGCCUGGUGGAGGCACAUUCAAUCUGCUGGCUAGGAACACAAGGUCUCUUAGGGUUGAUCAGUUAAAGGUGACAUUUAGGUGAGAAUUGUGGAAGGCAAGUUGCAGUUCCACUGUGUCAUUUUUCCAGCCAAGACCUACAGAUAAAGUCUGGGAAUGACUGAUUCAUUACUCAGAAUUAUGAAAAAGAUAGAAUGAAAUAUUUGCGCUUCAUGAAGACCUCAUGUUGGUAGUCAUAAUUCUUAUUAUUUGGAACAAACUGAUAUUUCCCUCACCAUAAGCAACCAUGGUACUGCUGGUAUAAGUGAGAACAGAGGAAAAAGUGAUUGUUGUACAUAUGCUAACUUUUGUAUCUACCCACAUGUCAGAGAACAUUACUUCAAGAAAUUGAGUUGCAAAGAUCUAGUUGGCCAUUUUUGUUUGUUUGUUUGUUUAAAAAGAAGGUUUAUUGCUUUGCUGGCAAAGGAGAGACACAGGGAACUCCUGUGUGAUUCUGCCCAUCAGCAGGGACAGGGAGCUUUUAAAGAGAUGACUCAAAGACUACAUUCCAUGUGUUCUCUGUCUGGAGUUGUAAUUCUCUUGUUAACUUGGGAGAUAGUUCUGAGAUCUUCUGGUAUCAUUCCCAAGGUCUGGAUUAUUUUGUUCCUAUUGUGUGUGUGUACUCAAGGACACAUAAAUCUGCCUAGGAUGGGGAAGAAAGGUAAUCCUGUUUCUCCUGAAUUUAGGGAUGGGGAAAGAUUAGGGAGAAGCAGGGAGAAAAGAAGAAAAAGAAACAUGUCCAUUUUAAAAAUAAGUAGCAGUGGCAGAGCAGCAAGGGCCAUAUUCAAAGCAUAAAGUGGACCACUGUUAUGGUUCCCCACUGUCAAUUUCCACCUUCCAUUUCUAUGGAAAAAUGGAUCAGGACAUCUCCAAACUGCUUCCUGCUGAAAGUGGGUGAAGUUGGGGGAAGUAACACAAAGUCCUUGUUCUUUCUCAGGUGGGGUGUGGAUAGUUAAGAGCAUCCAGCAUCAGAGCAGUCUAGAGGUCCACAGUGGCAGAUGGCACGUAUCUGGACAAGUCAUAUAAAGUCAUACACAGGGAUCAUGCAAAUAGCCAAAGUUGUCAUGACUUUCCUGAAUCAGUUUCCUUUUUCUCAAAGUGUACCAUGAUGGAACGAGCAACCUGUACUGUUCAGGGAGAGAAUGUGGGAGUGCUCCAAAGCCAAAGGAGCUUAGGCAACUGCUGGGAUGGUCCCUUAGUCCCUCCCUUUAUUCACAGGAACAACUCUUCUGGUUUGACCUGAGGCAAGCUCACCUGUCUCCUAACUCUCCUGCAGUUGACUCUCAACAAGUUCACCAGCACCAUGAAUCCUCAGCAUGGAAGUGGGUUCCUUGGAGAGCCAGGACUGCCCAAGAAAGUCAGGGUCUGCUAUCGGUCUGCUCUUGGGUCCCAUCUGGGAUGCCAACUUUGCUGCCAAAAAGUUUGGUCCUUGUCCCUGAUGCCAAUCUGAUAAUGAGUAUACGGUUUUGUGAUAAAGGAAAAAGAAGGUUUAUUGUGUAGGUUAGCAAAGGAGAAACAGGGAACUCCUGUCCCAAAGGCUGUGAUUCUUUCUGGUUGGCUAUUGUUAGUGAUUCAUGAACCAGGUGGCAUCACUGGAACACAAAUGGGAGCUCUGAUGGGUGUGACAAGUGUUGGUGAUUGCAAGACAGUGCAGGGAGCACAUUGGUGACAUCAGGUUUCUCUCCUUGUCUGCGUGGUGUAAGGCCUAGUGACUUCCUUACCAUGCCUGCAACUGUUGACUGAGCCCCUGUGAUUGGUUGAUGUGAAUCCCCUAUUAAUCUCUUUCUUUUCAUAUUGUUUGCAAAUUGGCUUGUUUGAGUUUUUAGUGGUUAUUUCCUGAUUUCUCAGAAGGUUCAAUGUUAAAAUUAAACAACUUAGGUUUUAGGGUUUUCCUUUUGUUUUGUUUUUGUCUUUUUGAUACCAGAGACUGAAUCCAGGGGUGCUUAAACACUGAGCCACAUCCA